rnacentral:rRNA from 1 species
AUUGAACGCUGGCGGCAUGCCUUACACAUGCAAGUCGAACGGCAGCGCGGGAGCAAUCCUGGCGGCGAGUGGCGAACGGGUGAGUAAUAUAUCGGAACGUGCCCAGUAGUGGGGGAUAGCCCGGCGAAAGCCGGAUUAAUACCGCAUGAGACCUGAGGGUGAAAGCGGGGGAUCGCAAGACCUCGCGCUACUGGAGCGGCCGAUAUCAGAUUAGCUAGUUGGUGGGGUAAAAGGCCUACCAAGGCAACGAUCUGUAGUUGGUCUGAGAGGACGACCAGCCACACUGGGACUGAGACACGGCCCAGACUCCUACGGGAGGCAGCAGUGGGGAAUUUUGGACAAUGGGCGCAAGCCUGAUCCAGCAAUGCCGCGUGCAGGAAGAAGGCCUUCGGGUCGUAAAGUUCUUUAGUCAGGGAAGAAGGGAAACUUGACUGUACCUGCAGAAAAAGCAACCGGCUAACUCCGUGCCAGCAGCCGCGGUAAU